rnacentral:rRNA from 1 species
ACGUAGGGAGCAAGCGUUGUCCGGAAUUACUGGGCGUAAAGGGCGCGUAGGCGGGUAUUUAAGUCAGAUGUGAAAGCUCCGGGCUCAACUUGGAGAGUGCAUUUGAAACUGGAUAUCUUGAGGGCAGGAGAGGAAAGUGGAAUUCCUAGUGUAGCGGUGGAAUGCGUCAAUAUUAGGAUGAACACCAGAGGCGAAGGCGUCUUUCUGGACUGUCCAUGACGCUGAGGCGCGAAAGCAUGGGGAGCUAACAG